CAGUCGCCGCGGGAAUACGUAGGUCCCGAGCGUUGUCCGGAUUUAUUGGGUGUAAAGCGAGCGCAGGCGGUUAGAUAAGUCUGAAGUUAAAGGCUGUGGCUUAACCAUAGUACGCUUUGGAAACUGUUUAACUUGAGUGCAAGAGGGGAGAGUGGAAUUCCAUGUGUAGCGGUGAAAUGCGUAGAUAUAUGGAGGAACACCGGUGGCGAAAGCGGCUCUCUGGCUUGUAACUGACGCUGAGGCUCGAAAGCGUGGGGAGCAAACAGGAUUAGAUACCCCGGUAGUCCCUGUCUCUUAUACA
rnacentral:rRNA from 1 species